rnacentral:rRNA from 1 species
CUAAUACAUGCAAGUCGUACGCUGAAGCGCUCUGCUUGCAGAGCGCGGAUGAGUGGCGAACGGGUGAGUAACACGUGGGCAACCUGCCUGUAAGAUCGGGAUAACUCCGGGAAACCGGGGCUAAUACCGGAUAACCCGUGCCUCCUCCUGGAGGCGCGUUGAAAGGCGGCUUCGGCUGUCGCUUACAGAUGGGCCCGCGGCGUAUUAGCUUGUUGGUGGGGUAACGGCCCACCAAGGCGAUGAUACGUAGCCGACCUGAGAGGGUAAUCGGCCACACUGGGACUGAGACACGGCCCAGACUCCUACGGGAGGCAGCAGUAGGGAAUCUUCCGCAAUGGACGAAAGUCUGACGGAGCAAUGCCGCGUGAGUGAAGAAGGUCUUCGGAUCGUAAAGCUCUGUUGCCGGAGAAGAACAAGGACAGUAGUAACUGGCUGUCCCUUGACGGUAUCCGGCCAGAAAGCCACGGCUAACUACGUGCCAGCAGCCGCGGUAAUACGUAGGUGACAAGCGUUGUCCGGAAUUAUUGGGCGUAAAGGGAGCGCAGGCGGUUGGAAUAGUCUGAUGUGAAAGCCCACGGCUUAACCGUGGAAGGUCAUUGGAAACUGUCCAACUUGAAUGCAGAAGAGGUAAGUGGAAUUCCAUGUGUAGCGGUGAAAUGCGUAGAUAUAUGGAGGAACACCAGUGGCGAAGGCGAC